AUGGAGGCGGCGGCCGAGUGCGCGGGCGGCGGCGGCGGCGGCGCCCUAAGGGAGGUCAAGAAGGAGGCCGGCGCCGGCGACGUGUUCCUCGUCGACGACCUCCUCGACCUGCCCUGCGACGACGACGAGGAGGAGGACGACGCGGCGGCGGCGGGGUUCGCCGACGGCGCCGCGGACUGUAGCGCCGGCGAGGCCGGGGGCGGCGGCGGCAACGCGUCGGCCGACUCGUCCACGGUCACCGCCGUCGACAGCUGCAGCAACUCCCUCUCCGGCGGCCUCGCCGACGGCGACUUCUCCGGCGGCCUCUGCGAGCCGUACGACCAGUUGGCGGAGCUGGAAUGGCUGUCCAACUACAUGGGCGACGACAACUUCCCCACCGAGGACCUCCGCAAGCUGCAGCUCAUCUCCGGCAUCCCCUCGGCGUCGUCCCAGACGGCCCCGCGCGCGCCCGCCGCGCCGGUGCAGCCUUGUGGCGGUGGUGGCGUCGGUACGGCCUUGUGGCGCUCGGAGGCGCACGCCGGGCAGGUGUCCGUGCCGGGCAAGGCGCGCAGCAAGCGGUCCCGCGUCGCGCCCUGCAACUGGUCCUCCCGCCUGCUCGUGCUCCCGCCGGCGCCGGCCUCGCCGCCCUCCCCGGCGUCCGCCGUCAUCUCGCCGUCCGAGUCCGGGACGGCGUUCCCGCUCUUCCCGAACAAGAAGCCCGCCAAGUCGUCCAAGAAGGAGGGGCCGGCCGCCCCCGCCAUGACCGCCGCCGAGGCCGCGGCCGCGGAGGGGCGGCGGUGCCUGCACUGCGAGACCGACAAGACCCCGCAGUGGAGGACGGGGCCGCUGGGGCCCAAGACGCUGUGCAACGCGUGCGGGGUGCGGUACAAGUCCGGGCGGCUGGUGCCGGAGUACCGGCCGGCGGCGAGCCCGACGUUCGUGCCGUCCAAGCAUUCCAACUCGCACCGCAAGGUGGUGGAGCUGCGGCGCCAGAAGGACACCCCGCAGCAGCAGCUCCUGCACCAUUCUCAGCACAAGCCGCCGCAGCAGCAGCUCCUGCACCAUUCUCAGCACCAGCCGCCGCAGCAGCAGCACCAGCUGGGGCCGGGCCUGGGGUUCCAGGUGCCGAGCCCGCUGCUGUUCGACGGGCCGCACCUGGGCGGCGGCGCGGACGAGUUCCUCAUCCGCAACCGCAUAGGCCCCGACCACCGGCAGCUCAUCUAG
rnacentral:rRNA from 1 species